rnacentral:rRNA from 1 species
CAGCAGCCGCGGUAAUAUGAGGGGUGCACGCGUUAAUCGGAAUAACUGGGCAUAAAGCGCACGCAGGCUGUCUGUCAUGUGUGAUGUGAAAUCCCCGGGCUCGACCUGGGAACUGCAUCCGAAACUGGCAGGCUAGAGUUUUGUAAAGGGGGGUAGAAUUCCAGGUGUAGCGGUGAAAUGCGUAGAGAUCUGGAGGAAUACCGGUGGCGAAGGCGGCCCUCUGGACAAAGACUGACACUCAGGUGCGAAAGCGUGGGGAGCAAACAGGAUUAGAUACCCUGGUAGUCCACGCCGUAAACGAUGUCAACUUGGAGGUUGUGCCCUUGAAGCGUGGCUUCCGGAGCUAACGCGUUAAGUCGACCGCCUGGGGUGUACGGCCCCAAGGUUAAAACUCAAAUUAAUUGACGGGGGCCCGCACAAGCGGUGGAGCAUGUGGUUUAAUUCGAUGCCACGCGAAGAACCUUACCUGCUCUUGACAUCCAGAGAACUUAGCAGAGAUAGCUUGGUGCCUUCGGGAACUCUGAGACAGGUGCUGCAUGGCUGUCGUCAGCUCGUGUUGUGAAAUGUUGGGUUAAGUCCC